rnacentral:sRNA from 1 species
CGGCACGUAACUUGGCAAAAUUCUUCGG